rnacentral:rRNA from 1 species
GAUGAACGCUGGCGGCGUGCUUAACACAUGCAAGUCGAACGGAUAGGCUCCUGCUUGCAGGGGUACUCGAGUGGCGAACGGGUGAGUAACACGUGUGAGAUCUGCCCUUCACUUCGGGAUAAGCCUGGGAAACUGGGUUUAAUACCGGAUAUGUCGAUGGAUUGGAUGCCAUUGUGGAAAGUUUUUUCGGUGUUGGAUGAGGUCGCGGCGUAUCAGGUUGUUGGUGGGGUAAUGACAUCCCUAGGCGUCGACGGGUAGCCGGCCUGCGAGGGUGUACGGCCAGAUAGAGACGGAGAUAGAGACCAGACAGAUACGGGAGGCAGCAGGCGGUGAGGUAGCACAAUGGACGGAAGAAUGAUGCAGCGACGCAGAGUGGGUGAUGACGGCAGGCGGAAUGGAAACUCCAUUCGCGAGGGACGAGGAGCAAGUGGCGGUAGCUGAAGAAGAAGCACCGGCUAACUACGUG